AAACACUUACAAGGGCUCUGUUAUUUCUUUCACAAGGAUCUGUAGACGGGCCUCUGUCUCAUCCUCAAUGGGCAGCUGAGGCAUCUGGGAAACCCUCUCCUUCUGAUCCAGGAUCUGGUACAGCUGCCAUGAUGAACAACAGCUCAAGAGGCUCUUCCCCUACCAGGGUGAUGGAUGAAGGCAAGUAAACUGUUCUCCAAGAGCCUGAAGUCCCCUCACUUCCCAGCAUUACAUCUUCAGCUGAGCAUCCGGUAGCAGUUAAUAUGACUCCAAAAGGGCCCCCUCCUUUCCCAGGAGUCCCUCUUAUGAGCACCCCCAUGGGAGGCCCUGUACCACCACCCAUUCAAUAUGGACCACCACCUCAGCUCUGUGGACCUUUCGGGCCUCGGCCAAUUCCUCCACCCUUUGGUAAGAUGAUCUGAACAGUAGUGAUUAACUUGUAAAGCAUAGUCAUCUUCUCUCUCUGUCCCUUGCUGAAACGACUGCAAUUGC